AGAGUUUGAUCCUGGCUCAGAACGAACGCUGGCGGCAUGCCUAACACAUGCAAGUCGAACGAAGGCUUCGGCCUUAGUGGCGCACGGGUGCGUAACGCGUGGGAAUCUGCCCUUGGGUUCGGAAUAACAGUGAGAAAUUACUGCUAAUACCGGAUGAUGACUUCGGUCCAAAGAUUUAUCGCCCAAGGAUGAGCCCGCGUAAGAUUAGCUAGUUGGUGAGGUAAAGGCUCACCAAGGCGACGAUCUUUAGCUGGUCUGAGAGGAUGAUCAGCCACACUGGGACUGAGACACGGCCCAGACUCCUACGGGAGGCAGCAGUGGGGAAUAUUGGACAAUGGGCGAAAGCCUGAUCCAGCAAUGCCGCGUGAGUGAUGAAGGCCUUAGGGUUGUAAAGCUCUUUUACCAGGGAUGAUAAUGACAGUACCUGGAGAAUAAGCUCCGGCUAACUCCGUGCCAGCAGCCGCGGUAAUACGGAGGGAGCUAGCGUUGUUCGGAAUUACUGGGCGUAAAGCGCACGUAGGCGGCCAUUCAAGUCAGAGGUGAAAGCCCGGGGCUCAACCCCGGAACUGCCUUUGAAACUAGAUGGCUUGAAUCUUGGAGAGGCGAGUGGAAUUCCGAGUGUAGAGGUGAAAUUCGUAGAUAUUCGGAAGAACACCAGUGGCGAAGGCGACUCGCUGGACAAGUAUUGACGCUGAGGUGCGAAAGCGUGGGGAGCGAACAGGAUUAGAUACCCUGGUAGUCC
rnacentral:rRNA from 1 species